GACGUAGGGUGCGAGCGUUGUCCGGAUUUAUUGGGCGUAAAGAGCUCGUAGGCGGCUCGUCGCGUCGGCUGUGAAAACCCGCGGCUUAACUGUGGGCUUGCAGCUGAUACGGGCGGGCUAGAGUUCGGUAGGGGAGACUGGAAUUCCUGGUGUAGCGGUGAAAUGCGUAGAUAUCGGGAGGAACACCAGUGGCGAAGGCGGUUACCUGGAGCUUUGCUGACGCUGAUGCGCGAAAGCGUGGGGAGCGAUCCGG
rnacentral:rRNA from 1 species